CGGUUUCGGUUUUUAUAUUCAGACGUAAACAAAGUUGGAGGAAACAGAAAAUGUGACAGUAGAUUUAUCGAAGUUCUAACCAUUUAACAGGAUGCCUGGAGAUGGUCCAAAACAAUAUCCUGUUACUGGAGCUGUUACUGGUUGGUAUUGUAAGUGUCGUGCUGGACCCAGAGUUGUCGGGGCAUGUGCCCAUGUGGCCUCAGUAUUGUGGUUUCUUGGCUAUGAAAGACACACAAACUUUGCAGUAAGACCUAUUCAAGACUGGGCUGACUACUUGAGGAUGCAGCUGUGCAACCUGCAGUAAUGGAUGGCUCAUCAGAAAGUGAAAUGAGUGCAACGGAAGAGUGACAUGAAUUGUGACAUUGGUUUAUUGAUGGUGAACAUUAUUGAGAUUAUGAUAUCAACUGCAUUAGACUCCCAUUAUUGUUUUCAACAAUAUAGUGGAAGGCUGUGUAUAUAUUGUUAUUAAUUAACUGUAAAUAGGGAUUUUUAUGUGUCUUUGAUUUUUUUUAUGUUUAAAUUGUGAUUUCUUAACAUCUGUUAUAUAAUUGAGAAAUUAAAAUAUAGUACAUUGUACAUCCCAAAAACAUAGUAGAUUCAUUGCAUGAGUUUAAUAAGUUUGGUUGUAAAUA